rnacentral:rRNA from 1 species
UACAGAGGGGGCAAGCGUUGUUCGGAAUUACUGGGCGUAAAGGGCGCGUAGGCGGCCUGCUAAGUCGAACGUGAAAUCCCCGGGCUCAACCCGGGAACUGCCUCUAAUACUGGCGAUCUAGAGUCCGGAAGAGGUGAGUGGAACUCCUAGUGUAGAGGUGGAAUUCGUAGAUAUUAGGAAGAACACCAGUGGCGAAGGCGGCUCACUGGUCCGGUACUGACGCUGAGGUGCGAAAGCGUGGGGAGCAAACAGG